rnacentral:pre_miRNA from 15 species
AAGCCAUUGUUGGAGAAGCAGGGCACGUGCAAAGUCUCUCUCUCUCUCUCUACGUCUCCAUCUUUGCAUGUGAUCUCCUUCUCCAACAUAGGCAU